UACGUAGGCAGCGAGCGUUGUUCGGAGUUACUGGGCGUAAAGGGUGUGUAGGCGGUUCUUUUAAGUUUGGUGUGAAAUCUCCCGGCUCAACCGGGAGGGUGCGCCGAAUACUGAGGGACUUCGAGUGCGGGAGAGGAAAGUGGAAUUCCUGGUGUGAGCGGUGAAAUGCGUAGAUAUCAGGAGGAACACCGGUGGUGUAGACGGCUUUCUGGACCGUAACUGACGCUGAGACACGAAAGCGUGGGUAGCAAACAGG
rnacentral:rRNA from 1 species